GAGUUUGAUCGUGGCUCAGAUUGAACGCUGGCGGCAUGCCUUACACAUGCAAGUCGAACGGCAGCAUGAUCUAGCUUGCUAGAUUGAUGGCGAGUGGCGAACGGGUGAGUAAUACAUCGGAACGUGCCCUGUAGUGGGGGAUAACUAGUCGAAAGAUUAGCUAAUACCGCAUACGACCUGAGGGUGAAAGUGGGGGACCGGCAAGGCCUCAUGCUAUAGGAGCGGCCGAUGUCUGAUUAGCUAGUUGGUGGGGUAAAGGCCCACCAAGGCGACGAUCAGUAGCCGGUCUGAGAGGACGAUCAGCCACACUGGGACUGAGACACGGCCCAGACUCCUACGGGAGGCAGCAGUGGGGAAUUUUGGACAAUGGGCGAAAGCCUGAUCCAGCAAUGCCGCGUGUGUG
rnacentral:rRNA from 1 species